CCCUUAGAUGUUCUAGGCCGCACACGCGCUACACUGAAGGAGGCAGCGUGUACUCCUGGAUCGAAAGAUUUGGGUAACCCGCGAAUCUCCUUCGUGCUAGGGAUUGAGGUUUGCAAUUAUCCUUCAUGAACGAGGAAUUCCCAGUAAGUGCAAGUCAUAAGCUUGCGCUGACUACGUCCCUGCCCUUUGUACACACCGCCCGUCGCUACUACCGAUUGAAUGAUUUAGUGAGGACUUCGGACUGGGACCGAUGCGGCUUUCGGGCUGCGUCGGUAUUCUGGAAAGAUGUCCAAACUGUAUCAUUUAGAGGAAGUAAAAGUCGUAACA
rnacentral:rRNA from 1 species